rnacentral:tRNA from 2 species
GCGCCCGUAGCUCAGCUGGAUAGAGCGUUUGACUACGAAUCAAAAGGCCACGGGUUCGAAUCCUGUCGGGCGCACCA